rnacentral:lncRNA from 1 species
GACCAGCCUGGCCAACAUGGUGAAACUCUGUCUCUACUCAAAACAAGGAAACAAGGCAGGAGAGAGUCCAUGAAAUUGGGGGGAGUCCAAAGAGGGAGUGUUUCUGUCCUUGGAACUCACCUUUUCUUCUCUCCAUUUCUCCUCUUCUCCUUCCCAUCUAGUGCAGCAUCUUCACUCCGAAGCAGAAAUUUGCCAAAAAAGCAUCCUCUUUUUAUCAGAAAAUAAAAUAUCCUGGUUUCUUAGCCUGGCAAUUGAGCUAAUCAGUGGAAUCAAGGGAAACUUUUUUGUUUGAGAUGGAGUCUCCCUCUGUCACCCAGGCUGGAGUGCAGUGGCACAGUCUUGGCUUACUGCAACCUCCACCUCCCGGGUUCAAGUGAUUCACCUGCCUCACCUUCCGGAGUAGCUGGGGUUACAAGCAUUCCUGAGACCACAGGCGUGUGCCACCAUGGCUAGCUAAUUUUUGUAUUUUAUUUUUGUAGAGACAGGGUUUUGCCAUGCUGCCUAGGCUGGUCUCAAACUCCUGGGCUCAAGUGAUCCACCCACCUGGCAAACGUCUAUGAAUUCCAUCAGAGGGCCUUACUGUGAAUGUAGGUUCUGUCCAGGAAGCUGUCCAGGAAGCUGUGAGAUCUUGGGCAAGUUACAUAUCUCUCUGUCUUUCAGUUUCUUGCGGUGGCUCACGCCUGUAAUCCCAGCACUUUGGGAGGCCGAGGCGGGCGGAUCACGAGGUCAAGAGAUCAAGACCAUCCUGGCCAACAUGGUGAAACCCCAUGUCUACUAAAAAUACAAAAAUGAGCCAGGUGUGGUGAUAUGUCAGGUCUGCAGUGAAGCUGUCUCGGGCAAAUGGGAAUAUAUGGUCACAUUAUUUAUGAACCCACUGCAGCUCUACUGCUCACCUUCACUUUGACAGUUACUACUGUUAGUACUUGAGACCGUCAUUAUGACAGUUGCUGUUACUACUUGAGACCAUCACUACAACAGUUACUAUUGUUACUACUUGAGACCAUCAUUAUGACAGUUACUACUGUUACUACUUGAGACCGUCAUUAUAACAGUUGUUGCCAUUACUCUUUAACACCCUCAUUACAAGACUGAAUGAAGGGAUGAACAUAGACAAUGAAAACUUAAAGCAAAAAGGAAGGGUCCAGGGGAAGAAGAAGAGAGCUCCCUGCUUCUAGUGAGCAAAGGCAGCCCUUGAGCUUCCACAGCCCUUCGUAUUUGUUGGGUAGCAAGAGCAGGGAGGAGGAGGUAAUGAUGGGUUGGCUGCUUAACUGAUAACAGGUUCAUAAUAUUAUUAACAGGCUUCAGAU